rnacentral:tmRNA from 1 species
GGGGCUGACCGGUUUUGACAGCAGGUAGAGUCUGAUUGUAAGCAUGCCGAGCGUUGUGUGGAGGCUCGUAAAAGUGAACGCUCAAACUACAAAUGGCAAUAAUAGCUACGCACUCGCUGCCUAGUUUUACCGAGUAAAACUGCUUAAUCCCGCGGUCCAAGGAGGCUGAGGGACGAGUACCUCGCCGAAGACUUUGCCCAAUAGUCCAGAGGCAUACGGGGUAUCAUCAGAAUUGGGAUAGCGUCCGGAAGCUUGUAACGGAUUGCGAAAUUUUACAAGCUGGGGUCAUGAUUAGGUCGCCUUCGACCAGGUUGUGACAGGAGGAUUAAUCGAAGGAUAAGCAUGUAGAAAGCUUUUGGGUUCCUUGUUUGGACGAGGGUUCGAAUCCCUCCAGCUCCACA